GACGAAUGCUGGCGGCGUGCUUAACACAUGCAAGUCGAACGAUGAAGCCUAGCUUGCUAGGUGGAUUAGUGGCGAACGGGUGAGUAAUACGUGAGUAACCUACCUUUAACUCCGGGAUAAGCCUGGGAAACUGGGUCUAAUACCGGAUACGACCAAUCUCCGCAUGGGGUGUUGGUGGAAAGCGUUAUGUAGUGGUUAUAGAUGGGCUCACGGCCUAUCAGCUUGUUGGUGAGGUAACGGCUCACCAAGGCGACGACGGGUAGCCGGCCUGAGAGGGUGACCGGCCACACUGGGACUGAGACACGGCCCAGACUCCUACGGGAGGCAGCAGUGGGGAAUAUUGCACAAUGGGCGCAAGCCUGAUGCAGCGACGCCGCGUGAGGGAUGACGGCCUUCGGGUUGUAAACCUCUGUUAGCAGGGAAGAAGAGAGAUUGACGGUACCUGCAGAGAAAGCGCCGGCUAACUACGUGCCAGCAGCCGCGGUAAUACGUAGGGCGCGAGCGUUGUCCGGAAUUAUUGGGCGUAAAGAGCUUGUAGGCGGUUUGUCGCGUCUGCUGUGAAGGCCGGGGCUUAACUCCGUGUAUUGCAGUGGGUACGGGCAGACUAGAGUGCAGUAGGGGAGACUGGAAUUCCUGGUGUAGCGGUGGAAUGCGCAGAUAUCAGGAGGAACACCGAUGGCGAAGGCAGGUCUCUGGGCUGUAACUGACGCUGAGAAGCGAAAGCAUGGGGAGCGAACAGGAUUAGAUACCCUGGUAGUCCAUGCCGUAAACGUUGGGCACUAGGUGUGGGGGACAUUCCACGUUUUCCGCGCCGUAGCUAACGCAUUAAGUGCCCCGCCUGGGGAGUACGGCCGCAAGGCUAAAACUCAAAGAAAUUGACGGGGGCCCGCACAAGCGGCGGAGCAUGCGGAUUAAUUCGAUGCAACGCGAAGAACCUUACCAAGGCUUGACAUAUACUGGACCGCAUCAGAGAUGGUGUUUCCCUUCGGGGCUGGUAUACAGGUGGUGCAUGGUUGUCGUCAGCUCGUGUCGUGAGAUGUUGGGUUAAGUCCCGCAACGAGCGCAACCCUCGUUCUAUGUUGCCAGCACGUUAUGGUGGGGACUCAUAGGAGACUGCCGGGGUCAACUCGGAGGAAGGUGGGGAUGACGUCAAAUCAUCAUGCCCCUUAUGUCUUGGGCUUCACGCAUGCUACAAUGGCCGGUACAGAGGGUUGCGAUACUGUGAGGUGGAGCUAAUCCCUAAAAGCCGGUCUCAGUUCGGAUUGGGGUCUGCAACUCGACCCCAUGAAGUCGGAGUCGCUAGUAAUCGCAGAUCAGCAACGCUGCGGUGAAUACGUUCCCGGGCCU
rnacentral:rRNA from 1 species